ACUCUUUUAGUACAACUAGUACAAGUGACUUCCAAUCACUAAAUCUUAGCCUAUAAGAAAGAGUA
rnacentral:tRNA from 1 species